UACGUAGGGUGCAAGCGUUGUCCGGAAUUAUUGGGCGUAAAGAGCUCGUAGGCGGAUCUGCAAGUCGGGGGUGAAAUCCCGAGGCUCAACCUCGGAACUGCCUUCGAUACUGCGGGUCUCGAGUCCGGGAGAGGUGAGUGGAAUUCCUAGUGUAGAGGUGAAAUUCGUAGAUAUUAGGAAGAACACCAGUGGCGAAGGCGGCUCACUGGCCCGGUACUGACGCUGAGGCGCGAAAGCGUGGGGAGCAAACAGG
rnacentral:rRNA from 1 species